rnacentral:rRNA from 1 species
CAGUCGCCGCGGUAAAACGAAGGGUGCAAGCGUUACUCGGAAUUACUGGGCGUAAAGCGUGCGUAGGUGGUGGUUUAAGUCCGUUGUGAAAGCCCUGGGCUCAACCUGGGAAUUGCAGUGGAUACUGGGUCACUAGAGUGUGGUAGAGGAUAGUGGAAUUUCCGGUGUAGCAGUGAAAUGCGUAGAGAUCGGAAGGAACAUCUGUGGCGAAGGCGACUAUCUGGGCCAACACUGACACUGAGGCACGAAAGCGUGGGGAGCAAACAGGAUUAGAUACCCGCGUAGUCCCUGUCUCUUUACA